rnacentral:misc_RNA from 1 species
UCGUCUUCAUCCUCUUUAUUUUCUAUGUUCUUUUCUUUUUGUAAGUUAUAGGAACAGUUUUCUAAUCAAACGGUUGGUGGAAAACAGUGAAGUUAUCAAACGGUAGGGAUGGUGUGUAGGGAAGUUACGAAACGGGGUUCCGGUCGUUGCCAGCUUCGGUUAUUAUUUGUGUUUGAUUCACCUUUCAGUGUAACCGAUAAUGAUAG